rnacentral:rRNA from 1 species
GACGAACCGUGCGAACGUUAUUCGGAAUCACUGGGCUUAAAGCGCGUGUAGGCGGGGCGGCACGUCGGUCGCUGAAAGCCCCCGGCUCAACCGGGGAACGGGCGCCGAUACGACCGCCCUGGAGGGACGUAGGGGGCCUGGAACUUCCGGUGGAGCGGUGAAAUGCGUUGAGAUCGGAAGGAACGCCCGUGGCGAAAGCGAGGCCCUGGACGUCUACUGACGCUGAGACGCGAAAGCCAGGGGAGCGAACGGG